rnacentral:rRNA from 1 species
GAUGAACGCUGGCGGCGUGCCUAACACAUGCAAGUCGAGCGAACAGACGAGGCGUUUGCUCCUCUGACGUUAGCGGCGGACGGGUGAGUAACACGUGGAUCCCCUACCUAUAAGACUGGGAUCACUUCGGGAAACCGGAGCUAAUACCGGAUAAUCUAUUGAACCGCAUGGUUCAAUAGUGAAAGACGGCUUUGCUGUCACUUAUAGAUGGAUCCGGGCCGGUUUAGCUAGUUGGUAAGGUAACGGCUUUCCAAGGCGACGAGGCGUAGCCGACCUGAGAGGGUGAUCGGCCACACUGGAACUGAGACACGGUCCAGACUCCUACGGGACGCAGCAGUAGGGAAUGGUCCGCAAUGGGCGAAAGCCUGACAGAGCAACGCCGCGUGAGUGAUGAAGGUCUUCGGAUCGUAAAGCUCUGUUAUUAGGGAAGAACAGAUGUGUACGUAGCUGUGCACGGCUUGACGGUACCUAAUCAGAAAGCAACGGCUAACUACGUG